CGCAGCCGCGGUAAUUCCAGCUCCAAUAGCGUAUAUUAAAGUUGUUGCAGUUAAAAGCUCGUAGUUGAAUUUCGGGGUUAGUAGGUUGGUCAUGCCUCUGGUAUGUACUGGUCUCACUGAUUCCUCCUUCCUGAUGAACCUUAAUGCCAUUUAAUUUGGUGUUUUGGGGAAUUUGGACUGUUACUUUGAAAAAUUGAGUGUUUAAAGCAAGCUAACGCUUGAAUAUAUUAGCAUGGAAUAAUGAAAUAGGACGUUCGAUCCUAUUUUGUUGGUUUCUAGGAUUGACGUAAUGAUUAAUAGGGAUAGUUGGGGGCAUUAGUAUUCAAUUGUCAGAGGUGAAAUUCUUGGAUUUAUUGAAGACUAACU
rnacentral:misc_RNA from 1 species